rnacentral:hammerhead_ribozyme from 1 species
GUACUGGUGAAGAGUCCCAAACUAAGACGAAACAGCUGUCCAGUAC